rnacentral:rRNA from 1 species
CCUACGGGGUGCAGCAGUGGGGGAUAUUGGACAAUGGGGGGGAACCCUGAUCCAGCGACGCCGCGUGAGUGAAGAAGUAUUUCGGUAUGUAAAGCUCUGUCAGCAGGGAAGAAAGCAAUGACGGUACCUGACCAAGAAGCCCCGGCUAACUACGUGCCAGCAGCCGCGGUAAUACGUAGGGGGCAAGCGUUAUCCGGAAUUAGGGGGUGAAAAGGGAGCGUAGACGGCUGUGCAUGUCUGUAGUGAAAGGGGUGGGCCCAACCCCCGGACUGAGCUGGAAACUGUAUGGGUGGAGGGCAGGAGAGGUAAGCGGAAUUCUGGGUGUAGCGGUGAAAUGCGUAGAUAUUAGGAGGAAAACCAGUGGCGAAGGCGGCUUACUGGACUGUAACUGACGUUGAGGGUCGAAAGCGUGGGGAGAAAACAGGAUUAGAUACCCUGUAGUC